rnacentral:rRNA from 1 species
GUUGACGGGCCCGCACAAGCAGCGGAGCGUGUGGUUAAUUCGAUGCUACACGAAGAACCUUACAGGUUUGACAUGCAAGUGGUAGGAAACCGAAAGGCGACCGGACCCUUCGGGGAGCUUGCACAGGUGCUGCAUGGCUGUCGCCAGCUCGUGUCGUGAGAUGUUCGGUUAAGUCCGCUAACGAGCGCAACCCUCGCUGUGUGUUACAAGUGUCACACGGUACUGCCGGUCUUAAGCCGGAGGAAGGUGGGGAUGACGUCAAGUCAGCAUGGCCUUUAUGUCCUGGGCUACACACACGCUACAAUGGCCAACACAAUAGGUUGCUAAGCCGCGAGGUGGAGCCAAUCCUCAAAGUUGGUCUCAGUUCAGAUUGCAGGCUGCAACCCGCCUGCAUGAAGAUGGAGUUGCUAGUAAUCGCGGAUCAGCAUGUCGCGGUGAAUACGUUCCCGGGUCUU